rnacentral:rRNA from 1 species
ACGGCUCAGUAACACGUGGGUAACCUGCCUCAAAGAGGGGGAUAGCCUCCCGAAAGGGAGAUUAAUACCGCAUAAUAUUAGUUUUUCGCAUGAAGAACUAAUUAAAGGAGCAAUCCGCUUUGAGAUGGACCCGCGGCGCAUUAGCUAGUUGGUGAGGUAAAGGCUCACCAAGGCGACGAUGCGUAGCCGACCUGAGAGGGUGAUCGGCCACAUUGGAACUGAGACACGGUCCAGACUCCUACGGGAGGCAGCAGUGGGGAAUAUUGCACAAUGGGCGAAAGCCUGAUGCAGCAACGCCGCGUGAGUGAUGAAGGCCUUCGGGUUGUAAAGCUCUGUCUUUUGGGACGAUAAUGACGGUACCAAAGGAGGAAGCCACGGCUAACUACGUGCCAGCAGCCGCGGUAAUACGUAGGUGGCGAGCGUUGUCCGGAUUUACUGGGCGUAAAGGAUGCGUAGGCGGAUAUUUAAGUGAGAUGUGAAAUACCCGAGCUUAACUUGGGUGCUGCAUUUCAAACUGGAUAUCUAGAGUGCGGGAGAGGAGAAUGGAAUUCCUAGUGUAGCGGUGAAAUGCGUAGAGAUUAGGAAGAACACCAGUGGCGAAGGCGAUUCUCUGGACCGUAACUGACGCUGAGGCAUGAAAGCGUGGGUAGCAAACAGGAUUAGAUACCCUGGUAGUCCACGCCGUAAACGAUGAGUACUAGGUGUAGGAGGGUCCAACCUUCUGUGCCGCAGUUAACACAAUAAGUACUCCGCCUGGGAAGUACGAUCGCAAGAUUAAAACUCAAAGGAAUUGGCGG